UGGGUGCUAAGAGAAUGGAUGAAUGUAUAUAAAUUGUUUUUUUUUAAAAAUUAAAAAUUAAUUUAAAAAUGAAAAAGUUUUUAUGUAUUAGUGGGACAAGAAGACCCUAUGAAUCUUAAUUAUUUUUAAAAUUAAAAAUUAUUUUAAAAUAAUUUAAUUGGGGCGAUUGAAAAAGAAUAUUUAUCUUUAUUUUGAAUUUAUUUUUUAAAUAUGGGAAAAGAUACUCUAGGGAUAACAGCGUUAUUAUUUUGGAUAGUUCAUAUUGAUAAAAUAGUUUGCGACCUCGAUGUUGAAUUAAUGA
rnacentral:rRNA from 1 species